AUGGAUAGCUUAGUUUUCUUCUACAUGCUUUGUAGUUUGAAUGAUGAGACAUAUAUGUCAACUACGGAUGUUGGCUUCAACAAUUCUCAUUGGUCUCAAACCAAUGAAGUGCAUGAAGAUGAUCAUGAGUUUGAGGUGGACUAGGACGGUGAGGGUAUCGUCGAUGCACCGAAAGGAAGAGCGGGCAACUACACCAUGGACGAAGACAUCUUACUAUGCAAUACAUGGUUGCAUGUGUCUAUGGAUGCCAACGUUGGAGGGGACCAAAGUAAAGAUGCAUAUUGGAACCAGAUGAAGGAGCACUUUGAUUUACACAACAAGAGUGGAAGGUAG
rnacentral:rRNA from 1 species